AUCUUUAACUAUUUUCCGUUAUUUAUAUGUACACCAGCAUGCAAUCUAUAGCAUAUUGUAAUUAUCUUAAAGGUUGGAAUCAGUAAUGGAUGAUGGAUUGUUUCCUUCUAAUUGUUUUUUGAACAUGACUUUGCCUUCUUCUUGUUUUCUCAAUCUCUGUUGUAGUUGUUGGAUGUAUUGUUGAUGGUACUUUUCGUUGUGUUUAUAGUGGUUAAUUACAAUUGAUAAAUUUUAUUUC
rnacentral:lncRNA from 1 species